rnacentral:rRNA from 1 species
AAUAGAUACCCGGGUAGUCCACGCCGUAAACGAUGAGUGCUAAGUGUUAGAGGGGUUUCCGCCCCUUUAGUGCUGCAGCAAACGCAUUAAGCACUCCGCCUGGGGAGUACGGCCGCAAGGCUGAAACUCAAAGGAAUUGACGGGGGGCCCGCACAAGCGGUGGAGCAUGUGGUUUAAUUCGAAGCAACGCGAAAAACCUUACCAGGUCUUGACAUCCUCUGCCACUCCUAGAGAUAGGACGUUCCCCCUUCGGGGGACAGAGUGACAGGUGGUGCAUGGUUGUCGUCAGCUCGUGUCGUGAGAUGUUGGGUUAAGUCCCGCAACGAGCGCAACCCUUGAUCUUAGUUGCCAGCAUUCAGUUGGGCACUCUAAGGUGACUGCCGGUGACAAACCGGAGGAAGGUGGGGAUGACGUCAAAUCAUCAUGCCCCUUAUGACCUGGGCUACACACGUGCUACAAUGGAUGGUACAAAGGGUCGCGAAACCGCGAGGUCGAGCCAAUCCCACAAAGCCAUUCUCAAGUUCGGAUUGCAGG